rnacentral:rRNA from 1 species
UACGGGGGGAGCAAGCGUUGUUCGGAUUUACUGGGCGUAAAGGGCGCGUAGGCGGCCUCCGCAAGUCAGUUGUGAAAUCUCCGAGCUUAACUCGGAAAGGUCAACUGAUACUGCGGGGCUAGAGUGCGGAAGGGGCAACUGGAAUUCUCGGUGUAGCGGUGAAAUGCGUAGAUAUCGAGAGGAACACCUGCGGCGAAGGCGGGUUGCUGGGCCGACACUGACGCUGAGGCGCGAAAGCUAGGGGAGCGAACGGG